UGGUUCUGGCAUCGAUGAAGAACGCAGCGAAAUGCGAUAAGUAAUGCGAAUUGCAGAAUUUCCGUGAGUCAUCGAAUCUUUGAACGCACAUUGCGCCCUUUGGCAUUCCGAAGGGCAUACCUGUUCGAGCGUCAUUAUCCUUCUCUCACCCCCCCCCCUUUUGUUAGGGACCCGGGCGUGGCGUUGGAACACAGUCGGUGGACAAACCAACUGGUUCUCAAAAGUAAUGACGGCGUCCGUGGGACCCUCGAUACAACGAGUUCUUUCGGGAGCACGCAUCGAGUUGCAAGGACCUUCCGGGCCGGUCAAACCCCCCCAUUUUUCUCAGGUUGACCUCGGAUCAGGUAGGAAUACCCGCUGA
rnacentral:misc_RNA from 1 species